UUGUGGUCAAGUUACUAAGGGCGCACGGUGGAUGCCUAGGCGCUGGAAGGCGAUGAAGGGCGUAGGAGGCUGCGAUAAGCCAGGGGUAACUGCCAACCAAGUGUUGAUCCCUGGAUUCCCGAAUGGGGCAACCCGAGUCGAGCGGGCAACCGUCUCGGCCCACCGGCGGCUGAAUGCAUAGGCCGUCGGAGCUAACCCGGGGAACUGAAACAUCUAAGUACCCGGAGGAGAAGAAAGCAAUAGCGACUCCGUCAGUAGCGGCGAGCGAAAGCGGAUCAGCCCAAACCCGCCUUAGGGCGGGGGUUGCGGGCCUGGACAUACGGAGACGAGAAAGGCCGGUCUAGCCGAAGGACCUGGAAAGGUCCGCCAUAGGGGGUGAUAGCCCCGUAGGCGAAAGACGUCGGGCCCUCCGUCCGGUGACCCAGAGUAGCACGGUGCUCGUGGAACCCCGUGUGAAGCAGGGAGGACCAUCUCCCAAGGCUAAGUACUCUCCAGCGACCGAUAGUGAACCAGUAGGGCGACUGAAAGGUGAAAAGAACCCCGUCGAGGGGAGUGAAAAGUACCUGAAACCGUGUGCCUACAAGCGGUCGGAGCCCUAUGCCCCGAGCAAUCGGGGAAGGGGUGACGGCGUACCUUUUGCAUAAUGAACCGGCGAGUUAGCCUGUGCGGCAAGGUUAAGCCCUUACGGGGCGUAGCCGUAGCGAAAGCGAGUGUGAUAAGCGCGACUCAGUCGUACGGGCUAGACACGAAACCUCAGUGAUCUACCCAUGGGCAGGUUGAAGGUCCGGUAAAACGGACUGGAGGACCGAACCCACUAACGUUGAAAAGUUAGGGGAUGACCUGUGGGGAGGAGUGAAAGUCUAAUCAAACUGGGAGAUAUCUUGUACUCCCCGAAAUAGCUUUAGGGCUAGCCUUGGGCCACUACGUCACGGGGGUAGAGCGACUGAAUGAAAAUAGGGUCCUCACGGAUGCCUAUUUCAACCAAACUCCGAAUACCGUGACGACUAUCCCGGGAGUCAGACGCCGGGCGAUAAUGUUCAGCGUCGAGAGGAAAACAAUCCAGAUCGUCGGCUAAGGUCCCUGAGCCAUGCUAAGUGCGUAAGGAAGUCCGAGUGCUAAGACAGCCAGGAUGUUGGCUUAGAAGCAGCCACCAUUUAAAAAGUGCGUAAUAGCUUACUGGUCGAGCAUUUGGGCGCCGAGAAGGAACGGGACUAAGCAUGGCACCGAAGCCGCGGAUUCGCCCCUUCGGGGGCGAGUGGUAGGGGAGCACUGGUAACCGCAUCGAAGGCAUACCGUGAGGAGUGAUGGAGCGUUACCAGGAGAGAAUGCCGGUGUAAGUAACGAUAAGACAGGUGAAAAUCCUGUCCGCCGAAAGCCUAAGGUUUCCUGGGGAAGGUAAGUCCGCCCAGGGUUAGUCGGUCCCUUAGCCGAGGCCGCGAGGCGUAGGCGAUGGACAGCAGGCUAAUAUUCCUGCACCACCUCUGACGGGCUAUCACUUGCGGAGGGACGCCAGUCUUUUGGAAGAGAUGCCGAUCGGAAAGGGCAAUCCCGAAGGCAAGGAGUGAGCGGUAGGCAAAUCCGCCGCACUAAAAGCUCCAAGCCGCAGGGCGACGCUCGCUUUCAGAGCGGAGUCUUCGCGAGACUGGCCGAGAAAAUCUUCGCAAGGACUUUCAGGGGUGACCGUACUAAAACCGACACAGGUAGGCAUGGCGAGAAGCCUCAGGCGCUCGAGAGAACUCUCGUGAAGGAACUAGGCAAAUUGACCCCGUAACUUCGGGAUAAGGGGUGCCUCCUCGUGUGCAACCUGCACCCGAGAGGCCACAGUAAAUCGGCCCUGGCGACUGUUUACCAAAAACACAGGUCUCUGCUAACUCGUAAGAGGACGUAUAGAGACUGACGCUUGCUCGGUGCCGGAAGG
rnacentral:rRNA from 1 species